AAUGUAGGACAGCGGAGCGAGCCUU
rnacentral:piRNA from 1 species